rnacentral:rRNA from 1 species
CCUACGGGGUGCAGCAGUGAGGAAUAUUGGUCAAUGGGCGCGAGCCUGAACCAGCCAAGUAGCGUGAAGGAUGACUGCCCUACGGGUUGUAAACUUCUUUUAUAAAGGAAUAAAGUGAGGCACGUGUGCCUUUUUGUAUGUACUUUAUGAAUAAGGCUCGGCUAACUCCGUGCCAGCAGCCGCGGUAAUACGGAGGAUCCGAGCGUUAUCCGGAUUUAUUGGGUUUAAAGGGAGCGUAGAUGGGUUGUUAAGUCAGUUGUGAAAGUUUGCGGCUCAACCGUAAAAUUGCAAUUGAUACUGGCGGUCUUGAGUACAGUUGAGGUAGGCGGAAUUCGUGGUGUAGCGGUGAAAUGCUUAGAUAUCACGAAGAACUCCGAUUGCGAAGGCAGCUUACUAAACUGCCACUGACAUUGAUGCUCGAAAGUGUGGGUAUCAAACAGGAUUAGAUACCCUUGUAGUC